CAGCCGCCGCGGGAAAACGAAGGGUGCAAGCGUUAAUCGGAAUUACUGGGCGUAAAGGGUGCGUAGGUGGCUUGGUAAGUUGAAGGUGAAAUCCCGGGGCUCAACCUCGGAACUGCCUUUGAUACUCGGUGUCUUGAGUGUGGAAGAGGUAAGUGGAAUUGCGAGUGUAGAGGUGAAAUUCGUAGAUAUUCGCAGGAACACCAGUGGCGAAGGCGGCUUACUGGUCCACAACUGACGCUGAGGUGCGAAAGCGUGGGGAGCAAACAGGAUUAGAUACCCCCGUAGUCCCUGUCUCUUAUAC
rnacentral:rRNA from 1 species